CAGCCGCCACGGUAAUACGAGGGGGGCAAGCGUUGUUCGGAAUUAUUGGGCGUAAAGGGUGCGUAGGCGGCUUGACAAGUCUUGUGUGAAAUCUAUGGGCUCAACCCAUAGUCUGCACGGGAAACUGCCGGGCUUGAGUAUGGGAGAGGUGAGUGGAAUUUCCGGUGUAGCGAUGAAAUGCGUAGAUAUCGGAAGGAACACCUGUGGCGAAAGCGGCUCACUGGACCAUUACUGACGCUGAGGCGCGAAAGCUAGGGGAGCAAACAGGAUUAGAUACCCCCGUAGUCCCUGUCUCUUAUAC
rnacentral:rRNA from 1 species